GACAGAGGUGCCGAGCGUUAGGCGGAAUCACUGGGCUUAAAGCGUGUGUAGGCGGGUGCCUAAGUACCUUGUGAAAUCCCACGGCUCAACCGUGGAACUGCUUGGUAUACUGGGUAUCUUGAGCCACUUAGGGGCAACCGGAACAAACGGUGGAGCGGUGAAAUGCGUAGAUAUCGUUUGGAACGCCAAUGGUGAAAACAGGUUGCUGGGAGUGUGCUGACGCUGAGACGCGAAAGCGUGGGGAGCGAACGGG
rnacentral:rRNA from 1 species